UCGAUAGGGGCUAACGGAGCCCCAGUUGGCAUCUGGAAAAUCGGCUCGCCUUCCCUCCCGCGAGAGCCACCUGUGCGCUUAUCUGUGUUGCAGACCCAGACAGCGUCUCCUCGCUGAGGCUGAAGCCCAAGUCUAGGACAAAGCUCUGCGGGCCCACCCGCCUGGAGCCCCGCCCUCGCCGCUGAAGUCACUUCCCAGCGCCCCAUGCGCCCUGGAGCACAUGAGCCAUUUUGGCUGCAGCAACGGUCCGCAGCGGUGCACAGCGCCAGGGAGACAGCUCCCAUGGUGAAGCAGUUCUAGCUAGAGGAAUAGGGCAGUGAGCCUUCACCUUCUCUUUUUUCCUGACUGGCAAACUGAGGAUGGACGGCGCAUGGCUUCCUUGUCAUGCUUGUGCUAAAGGGCUCCAAGAAGGCCCAUGUUGGGCGGUAACAAUUUGGCGACCCAGAUGGGAUGACAAGUCCUGCUCGUGGCCAGCCGACCUUGGAUGGGCAACCUGUUGGGACACAAUUGGAAACAUUGGUUAUAUUACCAAAGCUUUGACUGGAAUGUGACAAGAUAGCUUCUGAGAGACAAAGAUUGGACUUUAUGGAAUAAAACCACAUGGAAGUAUUGGCCUGGUACCUUAUGUUCAGUGUUCGAAGCAGCAUUUACUGGAUAACCAUCAGAUGGAAGAUCUGUCCCAGGAAGGAGCCACCAUGUCAAAUUCUUUAGGCAGUUAGUGGGGGAGGUCAAAUGUCCUUCAGAGAAAACAAUCAAGGCAUCAGAUGGAAGAUCUGUUCCAGGAAGGAGUUACCAAGUCAAAUUCUUUAGGCAGUUAGUGGGGGAGGUCAAGUGUCCCUCAGAGAAAACAAUCAAGGCCUGAUUCCUGAGUGGACAGUGGAUAUUUGGCAGAAUCAUGUGUCACAUCAGCCAAUUCACUCAGGACUGCUCCCUCCACAUCUCAACUCUAACACUCAUGGCAGUUGCCAUGGACUGACACCAGCCAGCAGUUCCCCUAUUAAGAUGUAGCUCAAGGUGUGGAUAGAUAUGUAUAUUCAAUUUCCUGCUGAACUUCACUGGCACCACCUUGGCAAAGUGGGACAUUGACUUACACUGCCUUUCUACAGGUGAUAAAUGGAGGCUCAACUCUCCCACUUAGCCCCACUGGCAUUACUCAGGAGGGAGAAUCAGAACACCUCUUGGUUCUGCCUGGUGGGUGAUGGAAGAUUAGCUUCUUUCUUGAUCUUGUUGACACUACUCAGCAAGGGACUCUGAUCAUUGCUAUAUACUUCUGCUGUUAAGGGGAUGAAAAAUAAUCUUCUCAGUCAGCCACUCCAAUGUGAACUAGAAGAGGAAUCAGAAGGUGAGGAUUGGAGGAAGUUCCGGUUCAAGAUGGUGAUGUAGAAGGAUCCUGAACUCACCUCGUCCCAUUGAUACACUGAAUCUGUGGCUACAUAUGGAACAAUUUCUUCUGAAAGAAACCUAAAAACUAGCUGAAUGUCUCAUACACAUUGGGCGAAUGGGAAUAAACCCACGUUGAAAUGGAUAGAAAAGGCGAGACACAAUCUUGCCAUAAACCUCACCCUUAGUGUGAUGACUCACAAUCAGGAGGGAAUUCACAACCCCAAGCUUCUCCCUGAGGAGUGAAAGGUUUGAACCACACAUCUGGCCACACAAAGUUUAAGACCUGCACCUAAAAGAUAGGCCCUCAAAACAUCUAGCUUUGAAUGCUAAUGGUGCUUGCAUUCACAAGACUCAAAAAGGUAUAGUGAUUUUGGAAACAGUUCUUAAAGGGCUCGUGUGGACUCACUCAUGCCAGGGACCAGUGCAGAGGCAGCUGACUGAAAAGUGCCCAGUCUUCCUGUUAAAGAGGCCUAUUUGCUUAUCUUAAAGCUGUAGCUUGAGGGACAGGCAUCUAAUUUAACACACAACAAAGGAAAUAGUGAAAUACUCUUCAAAGACAGAGGCCAACAGUCACCAUCUUUAUGUUCUCACUCUGCCUUGAUCCAGGAGGCCAGGAUAUCCUAGAAAGGAGCUUAUACACUCACUUGGCACCCUGAUUUUAGCAGCUGCCACCCAGGACACACUUCUUGAUUGUGUGGCUCUGGGGGCAAGUGGGGCUUAUGCUUGCAGGUCCCAUAGUACUGUAACAAACAGAGAAAGAGUUCUUAACCAGCUAUACCCCCAAGGCACAACAGAGAGGCAACUGACUGAAACACCCAAUCCUUCUGUGAAAAAGGCCUAUUAGCUUAUCUUCAUAGCUGCAGCCUCAGGGGCAGGCUUCUAAUUAAACACACUUCUAGGGGCUGACUACAAUCCUCUUCAGAGACUCGGUAGGCUGGUAGGCACCAUAUUUGUGCUCUCCCUCUGUCCUACCCCACAGCACUGGUAUCUCCAAGAAAGGAGCUUGUGUACACAUCUGGUGCCCCAGCUUUUGUGGCUGCCACCCAGAGGACACAUCCCUUGAUAUCCUGACUCUGGUGGCCAACAGGACUUGUGAUCAUGGAUUCAAUAGGACAGUAGCAAACAAAGAAACAGUUCUUAACUGACUAUCACUUCAGGACUCAGUGCAGAGGGAGCAUACAGAAACACCAUCUCCAACUCUUACCUUGAAAGAAGUAUAUUUGCAUACUUUAAAAACUGCUGCCUGAAGGUACAGCUUUCAAUCAUCCUGAAUCAAGAUUCUAAGAUCCUCCACUUGGGACACUGAUGGGUCUUGGCACACCCUCAACUACUGGGAGUCACUAAGAAUAAAGUAGGCUCUUUGAAAAUCACAAAGAUUUGAGAGACAACAAAGAACUAGGGCAAGAUUGAAUGAUAAUGUUCAUCACCUACAUGAGGCCACUCCUUCAAGACUGGGAGAUGUGGCUCUUUUAUCUAAUGCAUAGAAACCAACACAGAGAGUAAAGGAAAAUGAAGAAACAAAUGAAUAUGUUUCAAACAAUAGAAUAACAUAGAAACCUCAGAAAAAAACUUUAAUGAAGUGGAAAUAAGUAAUUUACCUGAUAAAGAGUUGAAAGUAAUAGUCAUAAAGAUGCUCAGCAAACUCAGGAGAAGAAUGGAUAAACAAAGUGAGAAUUUCAACAAAGAGAUAGAAAAUAUAAGAAAGUACCAAGUAGAAGCCACAUAGCGGAAGAAUGCAAUAACUGCACUUAAAUAUACAAUAUAGGAAUUCAACAGCAGACUAAAUGAAGCAGAAUAAAGGACCAGUGAACUCAAAAACAGAGCAGUAGAACUCAUCUAAUCAGAGCAGCAAAAAGAAUGAAAUAGAGUAAAGAGAGCUUAUGAAGCUUAUGUGAAAACAUCAAGCAGGCCAACAUUCACACUAUGAAUCCCAGAAUGAGAAGAGAGAAAAAGGAGAAAAAACUCAUUUGAAGAAAUAAUGGCUGGAAACUUCCCUAAAAGGAGAAGGAAACAAUCAUCCAGAUCCAGGAAGUCCAGAGAGCUCCAAAUAUUAAACCCAAAGAGACUCACACCAAGACAUAUUAUAAUUAAAAUGUGAAAAGUUAAAAGAUAAGGAAAUAAUCUUAAAAGCAGCAAGAGACAAACAACUUGUUAUAUACAAGGUAACUCUCAUAAGACUAUCAGCAAAUUUUUCAGCAGAAACUUUGCAGGCCAGAAGAGAGAGGCACCGUAUAUUCAAAGUGAUGAAAAAAAGCCUGAUAACUAAGAAUACUCUACCCAGCAAUGUUGUCCUUCACAAUUGAUGGAAAGAUAAAAACUUUUCUAGACAAGCACCACUAGAUUGACCUUACAAGAAAUGUGAAAGGGGACUCUUUAAGGUGAGAUGAAAGGGCACUAAUUAAUAACAGGAAAAUAUAUGAAAUCAUAAAUCUCAUGGGUAAAAGUAAAUAUUAGGUAAAAUUCAAAAUAAUCUACUUUGUAAAGCUGGUGGCUUGAUCACUUAAAAAGCUAGUAUGAAGGUUAAAAGGCAAAUUAGUAAAAAUUAUUGUAGUUAUAACUACAAUAAUUUGUGGAUACAUAAGAUAAAAAGAAGUAAAUUGUGACAUAAAUAACAUAAAACAUUGAAGGGUGUGUAAAUAUGUAGUGCUUUAGAAUGCAUUUAAACUUAAGUUGUUAUCAAUUUAAAAUAGACUGUUAUAAAUAUAAGUUGUUUUAUGUAAGACUCAUGGUAAUCACACAGCAAAAUCUAUAGUAGAUACACAAAAGACAAAAGGAAAGUAAUGUAAGCAUCUCAAUACAGAAAAAUCAUCAAAUCACAAAGGAAGCGAGGAAGAGAAGAAGAAAUGAACAAAGGAAAUACAAACAUCAGAAAAAAAAUAACCAAAUGGCAAUAAGUACAUACCUAUCAAUAAUUAUUUUAAAUGAAAAUGGACGAGAUUCUCCAAUCAAAAGACUUAGAGUGGCUGAAUGAAUAAAAAAAAAAAGACCCAUCUAUAUGCUCCCUGUAAGAGAAUCACUUCAGAUGUAAAGACAUGCACAAACUGAAAAUGAAGGGAUGGAGAAUGAUACUCUAAUUUCAUGCAAAUGGAAACUAAAAGAAAGCUGUGGUAGUUAGACAAAAUAGACUUUAAAACAAAGACAGUCAUAAGAGACAAAGAAGGUCAUUACAUAAUGAUACAGGGGUCAAUCCAACAAGAGGAUAUAACAUUUAUAAAUAUUUAUGCACCCAACAUAGGAGCACCUAAAUAUAGGAAGCAAAUAUUAAUAGAAAUAAAAAUGAGAAAAAGAUAGCAAUACAGUAAUAGUAUGGGACUUUAACACCCUACUUACUUCAAUGAAUAGAUCAUCUAGACAGGAAAUCAAUAAGGAAACAUUUACCUUAAAUGUCAGGUGACACCCGAUGGACUUAAUAGAUAUAUAUAGAACAUUCCAUCCAAAAACUGCAUAAUACACAUUUUUUUUCAAGUGCACAUAAAAAACUCCCCAGGAUAGAUCACAUUUUAGGCCACAAAAAAAGUUUCAAUAAAUUCAAGAAGAUUGAAAUCAUAUCAAACAUCUUUUCCAACAACAGUGGUAUGAAACUAGAAAUCAACUACAAGAAGAAAAUUGAAAGAACAAAAACAGAUGGAGACUAAACAACAUGCUACUAAACAACCAAUGGGUCAAUGAAGAAAUCAAAGAGAAAAUUAAAAAAAUACCUUGAAACAAAUGGAACUAGAAACACAACUUUCCAAAAGCUAUGGACACAGCAAAAGCAGUUCUAAGAGGGAAGUUUGUAGAGAUACAUGCCUACCUCAAGAAACAAGAAAAAUCUCAAAUAAACAACCUAACUUUAAACUUCAAGAAACUAGAAAAAGAAGAACAAAAGAAGCCAAAAGUUAGUAUAAGUUAGGGAAUAACAGAGAUUAGAGUGGAAAUAAAUCAUAUACAGUCUAAAAAGAUAAUAGAACUGAUCAAUGAAACUAAGAACUAGUUCUGUAAAAAGAUAAUCAAAAUUGACAAACCUUCAACUAGUCUCACCAAGAAAAAAAAGAGGGAUGAUUCAAAUAAAUAAAAUCAGAAAUGAAAGAGGAGAUGUUACAACUGAUACCACAGAAAUAAAAAGUAUUGUAGGAGGCUACUAUGAACAAUUAUAUGCCAAAAAAUUGGAAAACCUAGAAGAAAUGGAUAAAUUCUAGGAAUACACAGCCUUCCAAUACUGAAUCAUGAAGAAAUAGAAAAUCUGAAUAGAUCAAUUAUUAGUAAGGAGGUUGAAUCAGUAAUUAAAAACCUCCCAACAAACAAAAGUCCAAGAACAUAUGGCUUCACAGGUAAAUUCUACCAAAUAUUCAAAGAAGAAUUAGUAUCAAUCCUUCCCAAACUCUUCAAUAAUUUGAAGAGAAAAAAAUACGUCCAAGAUUAUUUUAUGAGGCCAGGAUUACCCUGAUGCCAAAACUAGAUAAAGACACAAAAAUAAAUGAAAAUUAUAGGUGAAUAUCACUGAUGAACAUGGACACAAAAAUCCUCAACAAAAUAUUAACAAAACAAAUUCAACAAUACAUUAAAAGCAUCAUACACCAUGAUUAAGUGGGAUUUUUUCUGGGGAUUCAAGGAUGGUUCAACAUCCACAAAUCAAUCAAUGAAAUACACCCCAUUAACAAAAUGAAGGAUAAAAAUCAUAUGGUCAUCUCAAUAGCUGCAGAAACAUCAUUUGACAGAAUUGAUCAUCCAUUUAUUAUAAAAACUUUCAACAAAGUGGGUAUAGAAGGAACGUACCUCAACGUAAUAAAGACCACAUAUGACAAACCCACAGAUAACAUCAUGCUCAAUGGCGAAAGCUGCAAGUUUUCCUCUAAUAUCAGGAACAAGACAAGAUUGACAACUCUUGCCACUUUAUUCAACAUAGUAUUGGAAGUCCUAAGAGCAAUUAGGCAAGAAAAGGAAAAAAGACAUCCAAAUCAGAAAGAAAGAAGUAAAACUGUCACUAUUUGCAGAUGUCAUGAUAUUACACAUAGAAAAACCUAAAGACUCCACCAAAAAACUGUUAGAACUAACAAAUGAAUUCAGUAAAGUUGCAGGAUACAGAAUCAAUAUACAAAAAUUUGUUGCAUUUCCAUACACUAAUAACAAGCUAUCAGAAAGAGAAAGUAAGAAAGCAAUCCUGUUUUCACAUGUAUCAAAAAGAAAGAAAUACCUAGAAAUAAAUUUAACCAAGGAGAUGAAAGACCCAUAUACUGAAAACUAUAAAACAUUGAUGAUAGAAAUUGAAGAAGACACACAUAAAGGGGAAGAUAUUCCGUGCUCAUGAAGUGGAAGAAUUAAUAUAGUUAAAAUGUCUGUACUACCCAAAGCAAUCUACAGAUUCAAUGCAAUCCCCACAAAAAUUCCAUUGGCAAUUUUCACAGAACUAGAACAAAUAAUUCUAAAAUUUUAUGGAAUCACAAAACACCCUUAAUAGCCAAAGCAAUCUUAAGAAAGAUGAAAAAAGCUAGAGGCAUAACAUUCUCUGAUUUCAAACUAUACUACAAAGCUAUAGUAACUAAAAUGGUAUGGUAUUGGCACUAAAACAGACACAGAAAUCAAUGGAAGAGAAUAUACCCAUGCAUAUAUGAUCAAUAAAUUUACAACAAAGGAGGCAAGAAUAUACAUUGUGGUAAGGACAGUCUCUUCAACAAGUGGAAUUGGGAAAACUGGACAGCUACAUGCAAAAGAAUGAAGCUGUGCCAAUCUCUUACACCAUAUGCAAAAAUAAAUUCAAAGUGGAUUAAGACCUUGAACCAUAAAACUCCUAGAAGAAAACAAAGACAGUGAGGUUCUUGACCUAAAUCAUGGCAAUGCUUUUUUGGACCAGUCUCCUCAGGCUAGGGCAACAAAAGCAAAAAUAAACAAGUGAGACUACAUAAAAAUAAAAAGCUUCUGCACAGCAAAAGAAACCAUCAACAAAAUAAAAAGGCAACCUACUGAAUGGGAGACAAUACUUGCAAAUCAUAUAUCUGAUAAGGGGUUAAUAUCUACAAUAUAUGAAAAACACAUACAACUCUAUAGCAAAGAAGCAAAUAAUCCAAUUGAAAAAUGGGCAGAAAAUCUGAAUAGACAUUUUUCCAAAGAAGACAUACACAUGGCCAACAGGUACAUGAGGAGCUGCUCAACAUUACUAAUCAUCAGGGAAAUACAAAUCAAAACCACAAUGAGAUAUCACCUCACACCUGUUAGGAUGGCUACUAUCAAAAAGGCAAGAAAUAACAAGUGUUGGUGAGGAUGCGGAUACAAAGGGAACCCUUGAGCACUGUUGGUUGGUAGGUAAAUUGGUGCUGCCACUAUGGAAAGCAGUAUGGAGUUUCCUCAAAAAAUAAAAAUAGAACUACCCAUAAUCCAGCAAUUUCACUUCUGGGUUUUAUCCAAAGAAAAUAAAACCACUAACUUGAAAAGAUAUAUGAACCCCCUUGUUCAGUGCAGCAUUAUUUACCAUAGCUCAAAUAUGAAAACAACCUAAGUGUCCAUAAAUGGAGGCAUGGAUAAAGAAAAUGUGGAAUAUAUACAUAAUGGAAUAUUAUUCAGCCAUAAAAAACAAUUAAAUCUUACCACUUGUGAUAACAUGGAUGGACCUUGAGGGCAUUAUGCUAAGUGAAAUCAGUCAGACAGAGAAAGACAAAUAUUAUAUGAUCUCACUUAUAUGUGGAAUCUAAAAAAAAAACAACCUUAUAGAUACAGAGAACAGAUUGAUGGUGCCAGUGUUGGAGGGUUGGGAGUGGGCAAAAUGGGUGACGGGGG